AGAAUAAUGCCAGCAGUCAGCCAUGUUGUCAGCAUCAGGCCUGUGCUAGUGUUAUUGAAA
rnacentral:pre_miRNA from 1 species